rnacentral:rRNA from 1 species
UACGUAGGGCGCAAGCGUUAUCCGGAAUCAUUGGGCGUAAAGAGCUCGUAGGCGGCCUGUCGCGUCGGAUGUGAAAGCCCGGGGCUUAACCCCGGGUCUGCAUUCGAUACGGGCAGGCUAGAGUGUGGUAGGGGAGAUCGGAAUUCCUGGUGUAGCGGUGAAAUGCGCAGAUAUCAGGAGGAACACCGGUGGCGAAGGCGGAUCUCUGGGCCAUUACUGACGCUGAGGAGCGAAAGCGUGGGGAGCGAACAGG